AUUCCUACGGGAGGCAGCAGUGGGGAAUUUUGGACAAUGGGGGCAACCCUGAUCCAGCCAUUCCGCGUGAGUGAAGAAGGCCUUCGGGUUGUAAAGCUCUUUCGCAAGGGAAGAAAACUUAUGAUAGAAUAAAUCAUGAGGUUGACGGUACCUUGAUAAGAAGCACCGGCUAACUACGUGCCAGCAGCCGCGGUAAUACGUAGGGUGCGAGCGUUAAUCGGAAUUACUGGGCGUAAAGCGUGCGCAGGCGGCUUUGUAAGUCGGAUGUGAAAUCCCCGGGCUCAACCUGGGAACUGCGUUCGAAACUGCAAGGCUAGAGUGUGUCAGAGGGGGGUAGAAUUCCACGUGUAGCAGUGAAAUGCGUAGAGAUGUGGAGGAAUACCAAUGGCGAAGGCAGCCCCCUGGGAUAACACUGACGCUCAUGCACGAAAGCGUGGGAAGCAAACAGGAUUAGAUACCCUGGUAGUCCACGCCCUAAACGAUGUCAACUAGUUGUUGGUAGAGUAAAAUCUAUGAGUAACGUAGCUAACGCGUGAAGUUGACCGCCUGGGGAGUACGGUCGCAAGAUUAAAACUCAAAGGAAUUGACGGAAU
rnacentral:rRNA from 1 species